GGAUGACUGGGCACAAGUAUAACUAUUAAAAAAACGGCGAAAACGGAGAAUUCCAGAAUCUGAGAGCCCAAUUCUUCCCCAUAAAAACCCGCGUAUUCAAAUCCAAAACCCUAGAAAUCGCAGGGGAUUUUGUUGUGCCGAUUGGGAUGGGGAUAAUUAAGAGCAGCUUCUCCUUCAUAAUGGGCACAGUUGCAGGGGUCUACAUCGCCCAAAACUACGCCGUUCCUAACAUUAGGAAGCUCGCCGAUACUGCCGUCUUCAUUGCCAAGCAAUACGAGGAGAAGUACCGCAAGCCCAAGAAGCGAGACGACGAAUAGGAUCAUUGGUUGUUCUGCGACGCCGUUUCGAACCCAGGUUAUCGUUUUGGGAAAUUCCUUUUUUUAAAUAUUUGUUCUUGUUUUUCUGGGAUCGGUACACGAUGAGGAAAAAUUUACUAAAGAAAGUGUUAUAGAUUAUUUGUAAUGAACUUGUUUCUUUCUGACUUCAAUUUUAACCUUCAAAUGAAAAAUGUAUAUUCUUUUUCAUUGUUAUUGAAAAGUUGUGAAGGAGUUCUAUAAUUUUGUACAAUUUAUUGCUGCCGUGUCUGCAUUUGUGUAAACAUAGCUACAUGUGAAGCUUUUGAGUCAAUAGUAGCUGUUGCGCAAAGAUGCCUUAUGGAUCAUGAUGCUUUUAGUGGAGAAUCAAAGUUUUGCUUGAUUGUACACACUUAUUCUCGAGUGUCAAGUGAGAG
rnacentral:lncRNA from 1 species